GUCGUUCUCAUCGAAACUGAGGUCCAGCACGUUGUCCGCCCCAGGGAAGGUUAAUGUGAACCAAAACCUUGGUUUCAUAUGAAUAAAAAGUAUCUCCUUCCUCUUGAGAUGUGACAAGGAACAAAGUAUUGGGAAUAAUUCUACCAUCUCAUCCUCAAGAACCAGUAGGAAUUCUACCACCAAUUUAGAGGUGAUAGUGGAAUUGGAUGGAAUUCCUAUUACUGCUCCAAUGAACUACUGAUUUUGUUACUUGUUACCAGCUCACUUCUAUAGGAAUAAUCAGAAUAGUGCACUCCAGAGAUGGUCUUGUGAAAAUUGAUAAGCUAGAAACAAUUUUCUUUUGCCAAUGGAACUGUGGGAGCUUCUCUUGGACUUCAUGAGAUGGUAAUGAUGGGGCCUAAAAGAGAAGAGAAAUUGUCUAUGCCUUUGCCUUUCUUGAAUUCUAUCUCCAGAGAGUAAGAUAACAAUUUUAAGUCAGUGAUUCUCCAUUCCUACCUGUGGUCUUUUGGACACCCUUGCAGAAGAUCACUUCUUGGGAAUUCAUUUGAAGUGAAUGAUACCAGUAAAUCCUUGAAACAAGACUCUUCAGACAAAGGGGCUGUUGUCCAAAUGCUACCCUCUGAAGGUGAUGACCACAAAUGUGAGGUGGAUUUAUUACUGAGGGUGCCAUUACUUCUACUACAAGCUUCACCAAAACAAUGAUACAGUCUUCUUUAUGCUUGGAGACUCGUCUCUUUCCUGUGUUGCAGUGGACACCUCCUGCAGAUAAGAAAUGCUUAACUGAGAAAUGCUCAUGUUGGGAUAUCAUCGAUGAGACUUUAAUUUGGGCAUGGUGACUGUUUCCCUUGCUGCCACUUGACUCAAUCCCAGGAGCCUCAGUAGAGGAAAUAUUAUUGCACAAGAAUCUCAAAAUGAUGGAAUUGCUCAGUGCUCCCAUAAAUAUACAUUUAUAAUUUCCAUUUGCCAUAUGGUAAAAUUUAAAUAUUGGAUAUAUUGAAAAGAAACUACACAAUUUUUUUUCAAAACUUCAAAGUGUAUCUAAAUAUCUAAUAUAUAAAUUAAGUUCCCUCCUCCCUCCCAAUUCUACCCCCCCAAAGUUUUCUUCUAUUAAGGGAGUUGUGUGCAUUCUUUAAGUGGAUAGAUGCACACAUACAGUCACAUAGACACAUACACACAAACUAUUUUGAGGGGUUCUGGAAGUAGGGCCAUGUUGUACACAUUCUUCUGCAAAUUGUCUUUCAUUUAACAGUUUUAAUACCCUUUUCUAUUUCAGUAAUACACAUCUGUGUCAUUUGUUGAAUGACUGCACGACUGUUUUGUAGGUGAAAUAUAAUUAAAUGUUAUAAGCAUUUCUCAUUCAUAGAUAUUUAUGUUAGCACCAAAUUUCUGUGCAAUGAAACUCCCUAUCAAUAAUUCUGCACUUGUCUAUUAUAUCAUAAUAAAUUACUUAGCAGUUCAAAUACUGGGAUUAAGGAUAUGCACAUUUCAAAUUAUUACAAGAUUUCCUUAAAAUGUGGUGACAACUUUAUCCUCAAAUGGCAAUGAAUGAGAUUGCCAGCUUUCCCCACAACUUCACAGAUAAUGGAUUUUAUAAAUAUUUAAUUUUUUUGCCAAUGUGAUAGCCCAAACUAUUGUCUUAAACUGUAUUUCUUUUGUUUUUGAGUUUGAUCAUUUUUUCAUGUUUAUUAGCCAUCUGUAUUCUUUAAUUUCCUCUUUAUGUCCAAUUUUGGGGGUGGGGGUUUAGAUUUCUGGUUUUGAAGAGCUCAUUUAUUACUGGGAGAAUAAGCUUUGGAUUGUGAAGCAUUAUAGAUAUUUUUAUGCACUUUUAUACUUCAUUUUUGUUGUAAGAAUGUGUAUGAUUGUUAUAUGUCCAAGUAUAACCAUGUUUGCUUUUAUGGCUUCUGAGUUUCAUGUCAUUUUGGAAAAAAUAUUUAUACUGAUUUCAUAAAACCGUUCACCUAUGUUAA